UACGAAGGGGGCUAGCGUUGCUCGGAAUUACUGGGCGUAAAGGGCGCGUAGGCGGUUCGUACAGUCAGACGUGAAAUUCCUGGGCUCAACCUGGGGGCUGCGUUUGAUACGUGCGGACUUGAGUGCGGAAGAGGGUCGUGGAAUUCCCAGUGUAGAGGUGAAAUUCGUAGAUAUUGGGAAGAACACCGGUGGCGAAGGCGGCGACCUGGUCCGAUACUGACGCUGAGGCGCGAAAGCGUGGGGAGCAAACAGG
rnacentral:rRNA from 1 species